rnacentral:misc_RNA from 1 species
GAAAUGCGAUAAGUAAUGUGAAUUGCAGAAUUCAGUGAAUCAUCGAAUCUUUGAACGCACCUUGCGCUCCUUGGUAUUCCUUGGAGCAUGCCUGUUUGAGUAUCAUGAAAUCUUCGAAGUAAAUCUAUUGUUAACUCAAUUGGUUUCUACUUUGGUAUUGGAGGUCUUUGCAGCUUCACACCUGCUCCUCUUUGUUCAUUAGCUGGAUCUCAGUGUUAUGCUUGGUUCCACUCGGCGUGAUAAGUUAUCUAUCGCUGAGGACACUGUAAAAGGUGGCCAAGGUAAAUGCAGAUGAACCGCUUCUAAUAGUCCAUUGACUUGGACAAUACUUUUAUGAUCUGAUCUAAAAUCAGGUAGGACUACCCGCUGAACUUAAGC